CACGUGAGCAACCUGCCCCUGACUCUGGGAUAAGCGCUGGAAACGGCGUCUAAUACUGGAUACGAACCGCGACCGCAUGGUCAGUGGUUGGAAAGAAUUUCGGUUGGGGAUGGGCUCGCGGCCUAUCAGCUUGUUGGUGAGGUAAUGGCUCACCAAGGCGUCGACGGGUAGCCGGCCUGAGAGGGUGACCGGCCACACUGGGACUGAGACACGGCCCAGACUCCUACGGGAGGCAGCAGUGGGGAAUAUUGCACAAUGGGCGCAAGCCUGAUGCAGCAACGCCGCGUGAGGGAUGACGGCCUUCGGGUUGUAAACCUCUUUUAGCAGGGAAGAAGCGAAAGUGACGGUACCUGCAGAAAAAGCGCCGGCUAACUACGUGCCAGCAGCCGCGGUAAUACGUAGGGCGCAAGCGUUAUCCGGAAUUAUUGGGCGUAAAGAGCUCGUAGGCGGUUUGUCGCGUCUGCUGUGAAAUCCCGAGGCUCAACCUCGGGCCUGCAGUGGGUACGGGCAGACUAGAGUGCGGUA
rnacentral:rRNA from 1 species